CAUCCUCCAAGGCUAAAUACUCCUGACUGACCGAUAGUGAACCAGUACCGUGAGGGAAAGGCGAAAAGAACCCCGGCGAGGGGAGUGAAAAAGAACCUGAAACCGUGUACGUACAAGCAGUGGGAGCCUCUUUAUGGGGUGACUGCGUACCUUUUGUAUAAUGGGUCAGCGACUUAUAUUCUGUAGCAAGGUUAACCGAAUAGGGGAGCCGAAGGGAAACCGAGUCUUAACUGGGCGUUAAGUUGCAGGGUAUAGACCCGAAACCCGGUGAUCUAGCCAUGGGCAGGUUGAAGGUUGGGUAACACUAACUGGAGGACCGAACCGACUAAUGUUGAAAAAUUAGCGGAUGACUUGUGGCUGGGGGUGAAAGGCCAAUCAAACCGGGAGAUAGCUGGUUCUCCCCGAAAGCUAUUUAGGUAGCGCCUCGUGAACUCAUCUCCGGGGGUAGAGCACUGUUUCGGCAAGGGGGUCAUCCCGACUUACCAACCCGAUGCAAACUGCGAAUACCGGAGAAUGUUAUCACGGGAGACACACGGCGGGUGCUAACGUCCGUCGUGAAGAGGGAAACAACCCAGACCGCCAGCUAAGGUCCCAAAGUCAUGGUUAAGUGGGAAACGAUGUGGGAAGGCCCAGACAGCCAGGAUGUUGGCUUAGAAGCAGCCAUCAUUUAAAGAAAGCGUAAUAGCUCACUGGUCGAGUCGGCCUGCGCGGAAGAUGUAACGGGGCUAAACCAUGCACCGAAGCUGCGGCAGCGACGCUUAUGCGUUGUUGGGUAGGGGAGCGUUCUGUAAGCCUGCGAAGGUGUACUGUGAGGUAUGCUGGAGGUAUCAGAAGUGCGAAUGCUGACAUAAGUAACGAUAAAGCGGGUGAAAAGCCCGCUCGCCGGAAGACCAAGGGUUCCUGUCCAACGUUAAUCGGGGCAGGGUGAGUCGACCCCUAAGGCGAGGCCGAAAGGCGUAGUCGAUGGGAAACAGGUUAAUAUUCCUGUACUUGGUGUUACUGCGAAGGGGGGACGGAGAAGGCUAUGUUGGCCGGGCGACGGUUGUCCCGGUUUAAGCGUGUAGGCUGGUUUUCCAGGCAAAUCCGGAAAAUCAAGGCUGAGGCGUGAUGACGAGGCACUACGGUGCUGAAGCAACAAAUGCCCUGCUUCCAGGAAAAGCCUCUAAGCAUCAGGUAACAUCAAAUCGUACCCCAAACCGACACAGGUGGUCAGGUAGAGAAUACCAAGGCGCUUGAGAGAACUCGGGUGAAGGAACUAGGCAAAAUGGUGCCGUAACUUCGGGAGAAGGCACGCUGAUAUGUAGGUGAAGUCCCUUGCGGAUGGAGCUGAAAUCAGUCGAAGAUACCAGCUGGCUGCAACUGUUUAUUAAAAACACAGCACUGUGCAAACACGAAAGUGGACGUAUACGGUGUGACGCCUGCCCGGUGCCGGAAGGUUAAUUGAUGGGGUUAGCGGUAACGCGAAGCUCUUGAUCGAAGCCCCGGUAAACGGCGGCCGUAACUAUAACGGUCCUAAGGUAGCGAAAUUCCUUGUCGGGUAAGUUCCGACCUGCACGAAUGGCGUAAUGAUGGCCAGGCUGUCUCCACCC
rnacentral:rRNA from 1 species